ACGGGUGAGUAACACGUAGAAAAUCUGCCUUAAGGAAGGGGACAACAGUUGGAAACGACUGCUAAUACCCUAUAUGAGCUAGACUGAAAUGUCUAUCUUGAAAGUUCCGGCGCCUUAAGAUGAGUCUGCGUCUGAUUAGCUUGUUGGUGGGGUAAUGGCCUACCAAGGCGACGACGGGUAGCUGGCCUGAGAGGAUGGUCAGCCGGACUGGGACUGAGAUACGGCCCAGACUCCUACGGGGGGCAGCAAUUAGGAAUCUUGCGCAAUGGGCGAAAGCCUGACGCAGCGACGUCGCGUGACCGAUGAAGUCUUUCGGGAUGUAAAGGUCUUUUUUGGGGGGAGAAGGAUGUGACGGUACCCCAAGAAUAAGCCCCGGCUAACUACGUGCCAGCAGCCGCGGUAAUACGUAGGGGGCGAGCGUUGUCCGAAUUCACUGGGCGUAAAGCGCGCGUAGGCGGGUUAUUAAGUUGGAGGUGAAAUCCCGGGGCUCAACCCCGGAACUGCCCCCAAAACUGGUAGCCUUGAGGUAUGGAGAGGGAAGUGGAAUUCCAGGU
rnacentral:rRNA from 1 species